rnacentral:rRNA from 1 species
ACGAAGGGUGCAAGCGUUACUCGGAAUUACUGGGCGUAAAGGGUGCGUAGGUGGUUUUUUAAGUCUGCUGUGGAAUCCCCGGGCUCAACCUGGGAAUUGCAUUCGAGACUGAAUAGCUAGGGUACGGUAGAGGGAAGUGGAAUUUCCGGUGUAGCGGUGAAAUGCGUAGAUAUCGGAAGGAACAUCAGUGGCGAAAGCGACUUCCUGGACCAGUACCGACGUUCAGGCACGAAAGCGUGGGGAGCAAACAGGA